ACUGGAUGUGACAUGUGACAGCCAAGUUAUGACCCGAUGCUCCCGUCGGCUGUUAGUAUUUCUCAUCCCAAACACGCCUGAACAUGGCUUCCAGUGAUGGAAUUCCCCCUACUGGUUUUCCACCAGCACCACCUGCUUUUGUACCUCCAAUGAUGCCGGCAGCUCCGUUUAUGCCUUCAACAAGCCUACCGCCAGGUCCGCCAGGACUUAUGCCACCUCAAUUUUCCAUCCCUCCUCCAGGGUUUGGGUUUCCAAUGGCAGGACCAGCAGAAGCGGGUGUCAUUGUGGCUCCUACACACAUAGCAGCUCCAGGAAUGCCACCACCAGCACCUACAGCUACUGACAUUGCCACGAGUGUUUUGGCAGAAAAGAAAUCUGAUUGGACUGAGCAUAAGGCACCAGAUGGUCGUACAUAUUACUACAAUUGUAUAACAAAGCAGUCACUCUGGGAAAAGCCAGACGAAUUAAAAACCCCGAGUGAACUCCUUCUGUCUCAGUGUCCAUGGAAAGAGUAUAAAUCUGAAAAUGGAAAAGUUUACUAUCACAAUGUGUCAACUAAAGAAUCCAGGUGGAUUAUUCCACCUGAACUUGAAGAAUUAAAAAACAAGAUUAGUGCUGAAGAGGCUGCUGCAGCUGCAGCUGCUGCUGUGGCCAGUGCUACUAAUACAGGUGGAGUGCCACUACUUCACUUGUCUCCAGGCUUAAUCCCUCAAACUGGUAUUGAGCCAGGUGGUAAGUCGGCCAUCGAACAAGCUAUGGCAGCUACACUCGCAGCCAUAAAUCUUCCUACUCCACCUACAAAGCAGCUCGAUGAAGAUAGCAAUUCAGCCAAGGACUCGACAAAUGGUAGUCGUAACAGCACGCCAGAACCUAAAAUGCAGUUUAAAGACAGAAAAGAAGCAAUUGAGGCUUUCAAAGAAUUGCUUAGAGAAAAGGACGUGCCUUCUAAUGCUACAUGGGAACAAGCAGUGAAAAUGAUUCAAAAUGAUCCUCGUUAUCCUCAAAUGAAGAAGUUAAAUGAGAGGAAACAAGCCUUUAAUGCUUAUAAAACACACAAGUUGAAAGAGGAAAGAGAGCUGGAAAGAUUAAGGUUGAAAAAAGCUAAAGAGGAUUUAGAGCAGUUUUUACUUGAAAAUGAAAGAAUGACAAGUACUACAAAGUAUUACAAGUGUGAAGAGAUUUAUGGUAACUUGGAAAUCUGGCGCGCAGUAGGGGAUCAAGAUCGACGUAACAUAUAUGAAGACGUGAUUUUCAAUUUAGCAAAACGUGAGAAAGAAGAGUCAAAGCAAUUAAAGAAGAGAAACACAAAAAAAUUAGCUCAAGUUUUGGAUAUUAUGACAGAAGUUACCUACAAAACGGUUUGGCAGGAAGCCCAGGCAUUGCUUUUGGAAAAUUCUGCUUUCGCGGAAGACGCGGACUUGUUGCAAAUGGACAAAGAGGAUGCAUUGUUGGUUUUUGAAAAUCAUGUCCGUCAGUUAGAAAAGGACGAAGAAGAGGAAAAAGAACGGGAAAAGAAACGAAAGAAACGACAAGAGCGCAAAAAUCGAGAUGGUUUCAUUAGCCUGUUAGAUGAGUUGCAUGAACAAGGAAAACUUACAUCAAUGUCUUUGUGGGUGGAAUUGUACCCCAUGCUUUCGGCAGACCUCAGAUUUUCAGCAAUGCUUGGACAGCCAGGUUCAACUCCUCUAGAUCUUUUCAAAUUUUAUGUUGAAGAUCUCAAAUCCAGAUUUCACGAUGAAAAAAAGAUUAUUCGAGAGAUAUUAAAAGAAAAAAAUUUCGAGGUACAAGUGAAUACUACCUUUGAAGAGUUUGCUACAGUUGUCUGUGAAGAUAGAAAAUCGGCAACCUUAGAUGCUGGUAAUGUCAAGCUUACAUACAAUUUAUUGUUAGAAAAAGCUGAAGCUAGGGAAAAAGAACGGGUCAAAGAAGAGACGCGCAAGUUCAAAAAGUUGGAAACAGCUUUCAAAAAUUUGUUAAAGUCCAUUGAAGUCAACUAUCAACAUUCUUGGGACGAGAUUCGUAGUAAAAUUGAAGAAGAAUCGGAUUUCCAAGCUGUAACUCUUGAAAGUGAAAGAGUAAGGAUUUUUAAAGAAUAUCAGCAUGAGCUUGAAGAAAGUUGUAGUCAUCAUCACAUCAGAAAUAAAAAGAAAAAAGCAAAAAAACCUAAAAGAAGAUCGCGUUCCAAGUCACACAGUGACUCUGAAGGUAGUGAAAAAGGACUUAUUAAGAAAAAGAAACACAGAUCGCGAUCCGCAAGUAUUGGCAGCAAGUCAGACAGUUCUGAAUCUGUAGAUGCAAGGAAAAAGAAGAAAAAGAACAAAAAAAAGCAUGACAGAAGUGAAUCUAGGUCACACUCAAGAAUGCCUUCGUCAGAUGAAUCUCCAGAUAGAAGAAGAAAAGAAGAGAAGCACCGCAGAGUAUCUACUCAGAGUGACGGUUCUAUUAACGAAAAUGUGCAUACAGAACUUUCUGAAGAUGAGCUGGAGCAAAAAAGAGCAAAAUUACUUCGAGAGCUCCAGAUGCAACAGGAGGACAACUAAAUACGGAUUACGUUCAGAACAGGCUCCUCAAUGUGAAAGUGCAGGUUGGCAGUCGGUAACUAGAUUCUUUGGCACGUUUGGAA
rnacentral:misc_RNA from 1 species